rnacentral:rRNA from 1 species
CGGGCGAGUAACAUGUGGGAAUCUGCCUUGUGGUUCAGGACAACAUUGGGAAACCGAUGCUAAUACUGGAUAAGCCCUUACGGGGAAAGUUUUAAUGCCAUAAGAUGAGCCCGCAUUUGAUUAGUUAGUUGGUGAGGUAAUGGCUCACCAAGACAAUGAUCAAUAGCUGAUCUGAGAGGAUGAUCAGCCACACUGGGACUGAGACACGGCCCAGACUCCUACGGGAGGCAGCAGUGGGGAAUCUUGCACAAUGGAGGAAACUCUGAUGCAGCGAUGCCGCGUGAGUGAAGAAGGCCUUUGGGUUGUAAAGCUCUUUUGUAGGGGAAGAUAAUGACUGUACCCUAAGAAUAAGGUCCGGCUAACUUCGUGCCAGCAGCCGCGGUAAUACGAAGGGACCUAGCGUAGUUCGGAAUUACUGGGCGUAAAGCGCGCGUAGGCCGUUGAGUUAGUUAAUUGUGAAAUCCCAAAGCUUAACUUUGGAACUGCAAUUAAAACUGCUCGACUAGAGUUUGAUAGCAGGAAAGCGGAAUACAUAGUGUAGAGGUGAAAUUCGUAGAUAUUAUGUAGAACACCAGUUGCGAAGGGCGGCUUUCUGGAUCAACACUGACGCUGAGCGCGAAAGUAUGGGUA